CGGAGCUUAACCACUAGGCCACAUCCCCAGCUCCUUUUUAAUAUUUUGUUUAUAGACAGGUUGUAAGUUGCUGAGGCUGGCUUUGAACUUCCGCAGAUCCUCCUGCCUUGGUCUCCUGAGCCGCUGGGAUUAAGAAUCACUUUUAAAAGAAAAGAAUAUAAGAAUUCUGAAGAUUCGAAAUCCAGCUAUCUCAAGGAAAGUGAGAAAAACUAUAAAUUCACACAUUCAAGAAAUGAAACAAUAUUCUGAAGGAAAAACAACCACAUAAUUGGUUUUCAGAAAGACUGCCCUAUAAGGGUGAUGAGGAAGAAAGAAUGUGUGGAUGACUUGAGCAGAGCAGCCCACUACAGUCUGAGAACAAUGAAAGGAUGCGGCAGACAAGAUUUUUUUGGGGGGUACCAGGGAUUGAACCUAGGGGUGCUUAAGCAUGGAGCCACACCCCCAACCCUUUUUAUAUAUUAUUAGAGACAGGGCCUUGAUAAGUUGCUGAGGCUGGGUUUGAACUCCUGAUCGUGCUGCCUCAGCCUCCUGAGUUGCUGGGAUUACAGGAAUGUGUUACCACACAAGAUUCUUUAUAUCCUUGAAGGCCUGCUAUAGCAUUUUAUAUUCUAGUAUCAGUGGAAAGUUUUGCUUUUUUAUAACAGCUCAGGUGCUAUAUGGAAAAAGAAUGGUGCAUAGGGGGCCAUGGUAGAUGCCUGUAAUCCCAACUCAGGCUGAGGUAGGAGGAUUAAAAGUUUGAGUCUAGCUUCAACAAUUUAGUGAGGUCCUAAGCAACUUAGCAAAAACCAAUCUCAAAAUAAAAAGGGAUGGGGAUGUAGCUCAGUGGUAAAGUGCCCCUGGGUUCAAUCCUAUUGGGGGGUUGGGGGGUUGGUGAGAACUGGAGAAUGUGAAAGAUUUCAGUGCCAUGCAGAUUAAAAAAAGAAGUGAAUUUAAGAGAUUUAAUUAUUCACCAAAAAAUGUGCACUUACAAGAUGCAUGACCAUGCUAUGGAAUUAGAUGGUGGAAAAGACAGGCAUAGUCUCCACCCUCAUUGGUCCAUGAAGAGUGGAACAGGAAAUCAAUAAAGGACGAGCUUUGAUAUGAAUAAAAAAGAACAGAAAUGGGGAUUAGCUCAGAUCGGGUUCUGUGGAAGUGACAUUUAGAUGCAUAGAGGUAUUCCCAGUGGGUGUGUGUGUGUGUGAGUAAGUGUGUGAGUGAUGGGGUGGGAACAGACAGAAUUUCAUGUGGAAUGAAGGUGAGCAUUCCUCUCUCCCAAAUAGCUAAGUUUUAAAAAAUAGAAGAUAGAGGUGCUGGGAUUGUGGCUCACAGGUAGAGUGCUUGACUAGCAUGUGUGAGGCUCUGGAUUCGAUCCUCAGCACCACAUAAAAAUACAUACAUA